AACUCCACAUACGCAUCCUUUGCUGAGGAUACGGUUAACGGAGCGCAAGCGACGUUCAACCUCAAAAGAAGCAGAGGGGGCUUAGUGGUGGGGUGACUGCGUACCUUUUGUAUAAUGGGUCAGCGACUUAUAUUCUGUAGCAAGGUUAACCGAAUAGGGGAGCCGGAGGGAAACCGAGUCUUAAUUGGGCGUUAAGUUGCAGGGUAUAGACCCGAAACCCGGUGAUCUAGCCAUGGGCAGGUUGAAGGUUGGGUAACACUAACUGGAGGACCGAACCGACUAAUGUUGAAAAAUUAGCGGAUGACCUGUGGCUGGGGGUGAAAGGCCAAUCAAACCGGGAGAUAGCUGGUUCUCCCCGAAAGCUAUUUAGGUAGCGCCUCGUGAAUUCAUCUCCGGGGGUAGAGCACUGUUUCGGCUAGGGGGCCAUCCCGGCUUACCAACCCGAUGCAAACUGCGAAUACCGGAGAAUGUUAUCACGGGAGACACACGGCGGGUGCUAACGUCCGUCGUGAAGAGGGAAACAACCCAGACCGCCAGCUAAGGUCCCAAAGUCAUGGUUAAGUGGGAAACGAUGUGGGAAGGCCCAGACAGCCAGGAUGUUGGCUUAGAAGCAGCCAUCAUUUAAAGAAAGCGUAAUAGCUCACUGGUCGAGUCGGCCUGCGCGGAAGAUGUAACGGGGCUAAACCAU
rnacentral:rRNA from 1 species